GCCUGGGUGGCUCAGUCCGUUAAGUGUCUGACUUCAGCUCAGGUCAUGAUCUCACAGCUUGUGGGUUCGAGCCCCACAUCAGGCU
rnacentral:tRNA from 1 species